GUGGGGAAUCUUCCACAAUGGACGAAAGUCUGAUGGAGCAACGCCGCGUGAGUGAAGAAGGGUUUCGGCUCGUAAAGCUCUGUUGUCGGGGACGAAUGUGCAGUAUUUGAAUAAAGUACUGUAAUGACGGUACCUGACGAGGAAGCCACGGCUAACUACGUGCCAGCAGCCGCGGUAAUACGUAGGUGGCAAGCGUUGUCCGGAAUUAUUGGGCGUAAAGGGAGCGCAGGCGGGAAGGUAAGUCGGUCUUAAAAGUGCGGGGCUAAACCCCGUGAUGGGAUCGAAACUAUCUUUCUUGAGUGCAGGAGAGGAAAGUGGAAUUCCUAGUGUAGCGGUGAAAUGCGUAGAUAUUAGGAGGAACACCAGUGGCGAAGGCGACUUUCUGGACUGUAACUGACGCUGAGGCUCGAAAGCCAGGGGAGCGAACGGGAUUAGAUACCCUUGUAGUCC
rnacentral:rRNA from 1 species